AGGAGUUAUGGGAAGAAUUGCCACUCCAGAGGAGUUUGAGGCUCAGUUUUGGAGACUCCAUGAGCUAGUAACAAUGGCGGUGACUACUCAGAACAGGAAAACCCUGGUGGUGCUACUUCCCUGUGAAGUUGUUCGUCAGUGAGUCAAAUUCAGAAGCUGGCAGGAGGUGGCCGAAGCCCAUUUUUCCUGGGGUGUUUUAAUGGACCUUGUUCAGCCUCACUCAGUUCCCCACCAUUUCACUUCUCUGCCUCGCUUGUCAGUUUGGUUGCAACGAAGCUACAAGGGCUUUCUCCCCUCCCACGAUACACCAAUAAUACACAAUACGUAUUGAGUCUGUUUCAGUGUCAGCUUCAAGUCAUCAGAACCCGGGGCUGCUUCCCACUUUUCUUCAUGGAUCGGUCCUUCCACGCGGCUGGCAUGCGUCCAUCCUUUCUCCACAGUUCGAAUAGCUGUUUCUGUGGAGACUAAGGAGACAGGGAAAGCUGAAGAACGACUAACAGACAAAGCUUGCAGGGGACGCUGUGCAAGUCUCUGACAUACAGCCAAGUUAGACAAAGGAGAAGGACCAGAGGGAGGAAGACUAUGAGCCUUAAGCAUGAGAGACCCCUAGAGGGACCACCGGAGACUGAUGCGCAUGCUCCAGUAGGAGGGUUUGGAUUCUGGAAACUAAUUAUAAUAACCCUGUUGUUUUUUUUCUUUUAGAAGCAGUAAUGAAUAUGUGAUAGCCUAGGAACAUAAAAAUCAGCUGCUUGAUAUAACUGGUGUGUGUCUUGGUGGAGCAGAGACUCCCAGCGCACCCAGCACUGUUUGAUUACCUCUAUUCCUUUAAUAAAUUGUAAACUUUGAUUAUAA